UAGUAUAUUUCGGUAGAACCGGUCUCGGACGCGGGUUCGAUUCCCGCCGCCUCCACCA
rnacentral:tmRNA from 1 species